AUUGUACGCUGGCGGCAGGCUUAACACAUGCAAGUCGAGCGGAGAUGAGGUGCUUGCACCUUAUCUUAGCGGCGGACGGGUGAGUAAUGCUUAGGAAUCUGCCUAUUAGUGGGGGACAACAUUCCGAAAGGAAUGCUAAUACCGCAUACGUCCUACGGGAGAAAGCAGGGGAUCUUCGGACCUUGCGCUAAUAGAUGAGCCUAAGUCGGAUUAGCUAGUUGGUUGGGUAAAGGCCUACCAAGGCGACUAUCUGUAGCGGGUCUGAAAGGAUGAUCCGCCACACUGGGACUGAGACACGGCCCACACUCCUACGGGAGGCAGCAGUGGGGAAUACUGGACAAUGGGGGGAACCCUGAUCCAGCCAUGCCGCGUGUGUGAAGAAGGUCUUAUGGUUGUAAAGCUCUUUAAGCGAGGAGGAGGCUACUGAGACUAAUACUCUUGGAUAGUGGACGUUACUCGCAAAAUAAGCACCGGCUAACUCUGUGCCAGCAGCCGCGGUAAUACAGAGGGUGCGAGCGUUAAUCGGAUUUACUGGGCGUAAAGCGUGCGUAGGCGGCUUUUUAAGUCGGAUGUGAAAUCCCCGAGCUUAACUUGGGAAUUGCAUUCGAUACUGGGAAGCUAGAGUAUGG
rnacentral:rRNA from 1 species